CCUACGGGAGGCAGCAGUGGGGAAUAUUGGACAAUGGGCGAAAGCCUGAUCCAGCCAUGCCGCGUGUGUGAAGAAGGUCUUCGGAUUGUAAAGCACUUUAAGUUGGGAGGAAGGGCAGUAAGCGAAUACCUUGCUGUUUUGACGUUACCGACAGAAUAAGCACCGGCUAACUCUGUGCCAGCAGCCGCGGUAAUACAGAGGGUGCAAGCGUUAAUCGGAAUUACUGGGCGUAAAGCGCGCGUAGGUGGUUUGUUAAGUUGAAUGUGAAAUCCCCGGGCUCAACCUGGGAACUGCAUCCAAAACUGGCAAGCUAGAGUAGGGCAGAGGGUGGUGGAAUUUCCUGUGUAGCGGUGAAAUGCGUAGAUAUAGGAAGGAACACCAGUGGCGAAGGCGACCACCUGGGCUCAUACUGACACUGAGGUGCGAAAGCGUGGGGAGCAAACGAGGAUUAGACUACCCGUGGUACGUCCGACGACCGUAACGUACUAGUACACUACGACGUUCGGUAGCGUGUAGUACUUUAGUUGGUCGCGAGCGUACG
rnacentral:rRNA from 1 species